GUGAGGAAUAUUGGACAAUGGAUGGAAAUCUGAUCCAGCCAUGCCGCGUGCAGGAAGACGGCCCUAUGGGUUGUAAACUGCUUUUAUACGGGAGCAAUAAGGUCUAUGCAUAGAUUGAUGAGAGUACCGUAUGAAUAAGCAUCGGCUAACUCCGUGCCAGCAGCCGCGGUAAUACGGAGGAUGCGAGCGUUAUCCGGAUUUAUUGGGUUUAAAGGGUGCGUAGGCGGCUUUGUCAGUCAGCGGUGAAAUUUUGCAGCUUAACUGUAAAAGCGCCGUUGAUACUGUGAAGCUAGGAUUUGGUUGCUGUGGGCGGAAUGUGUGGUGUAGCGGUGAAAUGCAUAGAGAUCACACAGAAUAUCGAUUGCGAAGGCAGCUCACAAAGCCAAAAUUGACGCUGAGGCACGAAAGUGUGGGGAUCAAACAGGAUUAGAAACCCUAGUAGUCC
rnacentral:rRNA from 1 species